CAGGACAGGGGACUCAGGUAGAACUAGGACAGGGGACUCAGGUAGAACUAGGACAGGGGACUCAGGUAGAACUAGGGCAGGGGACUCAGGUAGAACUAGGACAGGGGACUCAGGUAGAACUAGGACAGGGGACUCAGGUAGAACUAGGACAGGGGACUCAGGUAGAACUAGGACAGGGGACUCAGGUAGAACUAGGACAGGGAACCAGGGACUCAGGUAGAACUAGGACAGGGACCAGGGAACUCAGGUAGAACUAGGACAGGGAACAGGGAACUCAGGUAGAACUAGGACAGGGAACAGGGAACUCAGGUAGAACUAGGACAGGGAACAGGGAACUUAGGUAGAACUAGGACAGGGAACUCAGGUAGAACUAGGACAGGGACACAGGUCUUUAUAAGCCCCUUUUCUGCACAUGUUAUUGUCUAACUUCGAACUGUGAUUCCUCUCAGGCUGUUCUUCUCAAGUCCUAGAGCAGGAAGAAGUGUAGAGUUCAGGUUUCUGUGAGUCGUCUCCUUUUUCACGGAGAGAAACAAGCUGGAGUUCGUUUCAUCUCGGAACGACAGGACUCUUGAUUGAGUUUGGCAAUGUGCUUGAACCGCCACACCCGGUGGUAAAAACACCCUCGCCACCUUUUCCUCAUUCACCCAGAGUACCACAGCUCCUUUUCACGGGACUCGUGCCAACCAAUCAAAUACCAAGGAAUGAACAAGAAAGAAAAUGGUAGACUAGAUGGAGGAGACCCAGGGUCUGUAGAGAUGGAGGAGACCCAGGGUCUGUAGAGAUGGAGGAGACCCAGGGUCUGUAGAGAUGGAGG
ensembl:lncRNA